rnacentral:lncRNA from 10 species
GUUCAGCAGGUUAAGUCACCCUGCCCCCAUCAUCAUGUUGUGCAAAGUGGAAGGUGGAACUGAAACCCAGGAGCCCCCCUCAGACCCUGCGGUCUUUCUGCGUCUUGCAGCCGGUGGGAGGGAGAUGCUGCAGCCAGAAGAGAUCACCGCGGGUCAAGAGAUCAGGGUGGGGUGAUGCCCCAGGGUCACCACCACACAGAAACACUGCUGCCUUUUUUCAGAAAAUGGAUCCUUCCUUUAACUUUCUGGCAUUCGGUGUGACCUCGUGUUGGUCAUAAACAGAGCAGAACCAAGAAUCCCACCAGCACAGACUGUGCCAUGUUCAGGAGCUGCUGACAGUCAAGCCACGGCUGUGCGGCCCAGGCAGGCUCUGGCUGGGGAAGACGGUCGCCAGCACUGGCGGCAGACCCUUCCAUUACCUCCAGAGCCCGCAGUGGAGGACAGGCGGGCGCGCAGCUGACGCUGCGGGCUCUAGGACUGUCUGAUCCGACGGUCACACCCCUCACAUCUGACCUGGGCUUCACAGCAAAUACAGUCAUCUUAUUGUAAAUUAUUCUCAUGUCGCAUUAAUCGGUUAUUCAGCGAGGAAAGUGACAUUGAGGAAGAAAUGACGUGGAACGUUUUUGGCCACAGAGAGAGAUUUAUUAAGAGGUUGAUGCCAGAGAGGCCUCAGACCUUAGAGCCCCACUGAGGCUGACCAGUCAUGACCUGGAGCCCAGGAGGGAGGGGACAGUGACAGAGAUGCUGCCCUCCAACAACAGAGGUGCUCCCUGAAAGUGAUGGUGAUGAAGGUGCUCCUGGAGGUGAUGAUGAAAGAGGUGUUCCCUGGAGGUAAUGGAGGUGCUCUCUGGAGGUGACGGUUAAGGAAGUGCUCCUGGAGGUGAUGAUGAAAGAGAUGCUCCCUGGAGGUGAUGGAGGUGCUCCCUAGAGGUGACGGUGAUGGAGCUGCUCCCUGGAGGUGACAGCUAAGGAGGUACUCCUGGAGGUGAUGGUGAAGGAGGUGCUCCUGGAGGUGAUGGUGAUUGAGGUGCUCCCUGGAGGUGAUGGAGGUGCUCCCUGGAGGUGAUGGAGGUGCUCCCUGGAGGUGAUGGAGGUGCUCCUGGAGGUGAUGGAGGUGAUGGUGAAGGAGGUGCUCUCUGGAGGUGAUAGUGAUGGAGGUGCUUCCUGGAGGUGGUGGUGAAUACGGUGCUCCCUAGAGGUGACAGUGAAGGAGGUGCUCCCUGGAGAAGCCGAAGGCAGGCCUUGUCCCUCUAGCUACUUGGAGCCCCUAACACUGUCCUCAGUGCCGAUGCUUUUGGUUGCUACCGGGCACUUUCUUUAGGACACAGGCUGAGGAGGGACAGGGAUGGUGUCCCAGCAGCGUGAGCAUCUCCCAGUAGCAAAGGUGACAAACCAUUUCAGCUGGAGACGGAGAUGAAGCUGCAUAUUUAAGGCCAAGGAGUCUGUGCUGUGUCGGGGGCACUCGCCCCUGCUGAGGAGCCACUGCUGAACCUGGGGCUUAGAGAUGAGCCCUGAACCCAGCUCCAAAGUCUGCAGGCUCCACGUGCUGCUGGGCCCCCAACAAUGACAGGGCAGGAGCUUGGCUAUAGCCGCUCAACGAGUGUGCGUGGCCUGGGACCAUUCUAACAAACCAGGGGCUUAAAACAACAGAGGGUGCAUCUCAUGGUUCUGGAAGCCGGCAUCUGAGGUCAAGGCGUCCGUGAGGCCAUGCCCCUCCAAGGUGUGGAAGGCUCUUGGGGACCUCUCCUCACCUCACGACCCUCCCUGCAUGCCUCACCUGCAGACGCCUCACUCCACUCUCUGCCUCUGUCACAUGGCCUCCAUCCAAGGACCUGAAGCAGUGAUUGGGGCCCCCAACUCCAGGAUGACUUCAUCUGAGCCCAAAUCCAUCUGCAAAGACCCUCCUCCCAAACAGGGCGGCCCUUGUGGGGCCUGGGUUGGACUCAACCCUUCUUUUUGGAGACAAAAUUCAACCCCAAACACUAGACCGGUGGGAUUCCUACAACAACCCCAUCCGGGAAAGGCCAUGCCCUGCCCAGGGCCGAGAGCCAGCUCAGACUGGCCUCCAGCAAGGGCUGGACACAUGGCUCUCACAUCACCUCUAGUCCAAAACACGUGCUCCUUUCCCUCCAGCCAUUCCCUGGAAUCACCCCCCACCGCCCCCCACAGCUGUGACUCAGCUGUGAAGCCAGCAUGGCUCAGGAGGGGAGGGGAAAGAUGAGGAGGGGAGGGGAAAGAUGAGGAGGGGAGGGGAAAGAUGAGGAGGGGAGGGGAGGAAAGGAGAGGGGAGA